rnacentral:rRNA from 1 species
CCUACGGGUGGCUGCAGUUAGGAAUAUUGGACAAUGGGGGAAACCCUGAUCCAGCCAUGCCGCGUGUGUGAAGAAGGCCUUAGGGUUGUAAAGCACUUUCGGCUGUGAAGAUAAUGACAGUAGCAGAAGAAGAAGCUCCGGCUAAAUUCGUGCCAGCAGCCGCGGUAAUACGAAUGGAGCGAGCGUUGUUCGGAAUCACUGGGCGUAAAGGGUGCGCAGGCGGUUAUGAAAGUCAGAAGUGAAAUCCCAGGGCUUAACCCUGGAAUGGCUUUUGA